rnacentral:rRNA from 1 species
CCUACGGGAGGCAGCAGUGGGGGAUAUUGCACAAUGGGGGAAACCCUGAUGCAGCGACGCCGCGUGUAUGAAGACGGUCCUCUGGAUUGUAAACUACUGUCCCCAGGGACGAAGAUGACGGUACCUGAGGCGGACGCUCCGGCUAAUUACGUGCCAGCAGCCGCGGUAAUACGUAGGGAGCGAGCGUUGUCAGGACUUACUGGGUGUAACGGGAGCGUAGGGGGGGAUGCAAGUUGGGGGGAAAAUCUACCGGCUCAACUGGUAGUCGCACUCAAAACUGCAGCUCUUGAGUGAAGUAGAGGCAGGCAGAAUUCCUAGUGUAGCGGUGAAAUGCGUAGAGAUGAGGAGGAACACCAGUGGCGAAGGCGGCCUGCUGGGCUUUUACUGACGCUGAGGCGCGAAAGUGUGGGGAGCAAACAGGAUUAGAUACCCUGGUAGUC